rnacentral:rRNA from 1 species
GUCUGUUUGUAGUUGUAGAGAGUUUAACCUGCCCACUGAUAAAAAUUUAAAGGCCGCGGUAAUUUGACCGUGCAAAGGUAGCAUAGUAAUUAGUUUCUUAAUUGGGAUCUUGUAUGAAUGGUUGGACAAGAAAAAAUCUGUCUUUAUAUUUAUUAUUGAAUUUAACUUUUGAGUGAAAAGGCUUAAAUGAAUUAAAGGGACGAUAAGACCCUAUAAAACUUUAUAUUGUUUAUUAUAUAGUUGAAUUUUAUGGAAUAAAAGCUUAAUAAUAGGAUUUAUUAUAUUGGGGUGAUAAAGGUAAAAUUUUUGAUAACUGCUUAAUUUUUAAAAACAAAAAUAAAUGAAGUGUAAAAUGAUCCUAAUUAAAGAUUAAAAGUUUAAGUUACUUUAGGGAUAACAGCGUUAUUUUUUUUGAGAGUUCAUAUCGAAAAAAAAGUUUGCGACCUCGAUGUUGAAUUAAAAUUUCUAUAUAAUUGCAGCAGUUAUAUAAGAAGGUCUGUUCGACCUUUAAAUUUUUACAUGAUUUGAGUUCAAACCGGCGUGAGCCAGGUUGGUUUCUAUCUUUUAAUAAAAAAUUUAUUA